rnacentral:rRNA from 1 species
ACUGAGAGGAUGGUCAGCCACACUGGGACUGAGACACUGCCCAGACUCCUACGGGAGCACGCAGUCGAGAAUCAUUCGCAAUGCCGAAAGCGUGACGAUGCGACGCUGCGUGGAGGAUGAAGGCCUUAGGGUCGUAAACUCCUGUCAUUUGGGAAAAAUAGUACUUUAGUUAAUAACUAUAGUAUUUGAUGGUACCAAAAGAGGAAGCCACGGCUAACUCUGUGCCAGCAGCCGCGGUAAUACAGAGGUGGCGAGCGUUGUUCGGAUUUACUGGGCGUAAAGGGUGCGUAGGUGGUCAUGUGUGUCGGGUGUGAAAGCCCACGGCUCAACCGUGGAAUUGCAUUCGAAACUGCAUGACUUGAGUGUAGGAGGGGUAAGCGGAAUUCUUGGUGUAGCGGUGAAAUGCGUUGAUAUCAAGAAGAACACCGGCGGCGAAGGCGGCUUACUGGAAUACUACUGACACUGAGGCACGAAAGCUAGGGGAGCGAAGAGGAUUAGAUACCCUCGUAGUCCUAGCCGUAAACGGUGCACACUUGGUGUGGAGGGAAUUGACCCCCUCCGUGCCGGAGCUAACGCGUUAAGUGUGCCGCCUGGGGAGUACGGCCGCAAGGCUAAAACUCAAAGAAAUUGACGGGGGCCCGCACAAGCGGAGGAGCAUGUGGCCUAAUUCGAUGCAACGCGAAGAACCUUACCAGGGCUUGACAUAUACCUGCACGCCCCGUGAAAGCGGGGAAGCCUUCGAGGGUGGUAUACAGGUGCUGCAUGGCUGUCGUCAGUUCGUGCCGUGAGGUGUUGGGUUAAGUCCCGCAACGAACGCAACCCUUGUGUUUAGUUGCCACUCCCAGUGUUAAGCUGGGAAGCACUCUAGACAGACUGCCCGUGCAAGCGGGAGGAAGGUGGGGAUGACGUCAAGUCAGUAUGGCCCUUACGCCCUGGGCUGCACACGUGCUACAAUGACAGGUACAAUAGGAUGCAAAACCGCGAGGUGGAGCCAAUCCUCAAAACCUGCCUCAGUUCGGAUUGGAGUCUGCAACUCGACUCCAUGAAGUUGGAUUCGCUAGUAACGGUGUAUCAGCUACGACACCGUGAAUACGUUCCCGGGCCUUGUACACACCGCCCGUCACAUCAUGAAAGCCGUCUGCACCCGAAGUCGCUGAGCCAAUCUUUUACGAGAAGGCAGGUGCCGAAGGUGUGGGUGGUGAUUGGGAUGAAGUCGUAACAAGGUA